CAGAGGUGUCUGUUUAAACUACUGGCACACAGCUCAGUCCUCCAUGCAAACCCAACAAGACAUGUUACCAGAGGUGUCUGUUUUAACUACUGACACACAGCUCAGUCCUCCAUGCAAACCCAACAAGACAUGUUACCAGAGGUGUCUGUUUAAACUACUGGCACACAGCUCAGUCCUCCAUGCAAACCCAUCAAGACAUG